AUUGAACGCUGGCGGCAGGCCUAACACAUGCAAGUCGAGCGGAUGAAGGGAGCUUGCUCCUGGAUUCAGCGGUGGACGGGUGAGUAAUGCCUAGGAAUCUGCCUGGUAGUGGGGUAUAACGUCCGGAAACGGGCGCUAAUACCGCAUACGUCCUGAGGGAGAAAGUGGGGGAUCUUCGGACCUCACGCUAUCAGAUGAGCCUAGGUCGGAUUAGCUAGUUGGUGGGGUAAAGGCCUACCAAGGCGACGAUCCGUAACUGGUCUGAGAGGAUGAUCAGUCACACUGGAACUGAGACACGGUCCAGACUCCUACGGGAGGCAGCAGUGGGGAAUAUUGGACAAUGGGCGAAAGCCUGAUCCAGCCAUGCCGCGUGUGUGAAGAAGGUCUUCGGAUUGUAAAGCACUUUAAGUUGGGAGGAAGGGCAGUAAGUUAAUACCUUGCUGUUUUGACGUUACCAACAGAAUAAGCACCGGCUAACUUCGUG
rnacentral:rRNA from 1 species